UACGUAGGGUGCAAGCGUUAAUCGGAAUUACUGGGCGUAAAGCGUGCGCAGGCGGUUCUAUAAGACAGGUGUGAAAUCCCCGGGCUUAACCUGGGAAUGGCAUUUGUGACUGUAGGACUAGAGUGUGUCAGAGGGGGGUGGAAUUCCACGUGUAGCAGUGAAAUGCGUAGAUAUGUGGAGGAACACCAAUGGCGAAGGCAGCCCCCUGGGAUAACACUGACGCUCAUGCACGAAAGCGUGGGGAGCAAACAGG
rnacentral:rRNA from 1 species